rnacentral:rRNA from 1 species
GACGAACGCUGGCGGCGUGCUUAACACAUGCAAGUCGAACGGAAAGGCCCUGCUUUUGUGGGGUGCUCGAGUGGCGAACGGGUGAGUAACACGUGAGUAACCUGCCCCUGACUUUGGGAUAACUUCAGGAAACUGGGGCUAAUACCGGAUAGGAGCUCCUGCGGCAGGGGGGGGGAUGGAAAGGUUCGGCGGUUGGGGAUGGACUCGCGGCUUAUCAGCUUGUUGGUGGGGUAGUGGCUUACCAAGGCUUUGACGGGUAGCCGGCCUGAGAGGGUGACCGGCCACAUUGGGACUGAGAUACGGCCCAGACUCCUACGGGAGGCAGCAGUGGGGAAUAUUGCACAAUGGGCGGAAGCCUGAUGCAGCAACGCCGCGUGCGGGAUGACGGCCUUCGGGUUGUAAACCGCUUUCGCCUGUGACGAAGCGUGAGUGACGGUAAUGGGUAAAGAAGCACCGGCUAACUACGUG